GUGAAUCUGAUCUGAUGUUUAUAUCUACACAGGGAGCAGGUCCUCGUCUACAGAGAUCACCAUGUUGCACCGCCAUGUUUCUACAGUAGCCCAAACUUUACAAUGUGAAACGAAGCUGAACUAACAGCUCAUCUCCAACAGACCAAACAGUCUCAGAGAAACACUGAUGUGAACAAUGAAACGUUUUUAUUCAGAGUUUUUAUUGGUUUAACCUCUCUAACUCCGCCAGGAUGCCGACGUCCUCACUCCCCCUCCUCCUCUGUUAAAUGGUAUCUCCCAGGCGCACUACGUCAUCAAACCAUGUGAUGUUUGGUAUUGCCGGAUUCAGGAAGCUCUCGACUUUUCAAAAAUAACAUUGUUUUUCUUUUAUUUAUUAUGUAUUUGGCACCAGAGCAGCCUAAACACACAGAGUCCAACAUCACGAUGAGUGGUGACAAGUCAUGUCAUGGCGUUUUUCGACGGGAAAAGUUAAAGGAUUACUCGCGAUCUUAUGUGGAGCUGUUAGCAGGGACGUAGCUGGUUUAUAAAAGGUAAGAGUCUCACUCCUACCACUAUUUUUGGCUGAGAUACACCGUCUAGAAAGUGGGAUCAUAACUUUCACGUUUCAUAUGGCUUUAUUUGGUGAUAUUUUAUGGUGUUUGUGUGUCAUAAACAACAUCAGCUAUCAUAAUCACACCUGAUUUCAAUAAGGUACAAUGUUUGAAGCUGGCUGAGUGUUGUUUGAUCACUGAUAGUACUGUUUUGAAGCAGAGUGACCCACUUGUCAUGUGGAGCUCCGCCUGGAUCUUUUCAUGGUAAAAACACUGUAGAAUGGUCAUACUUUGAGCAGUCUUCUUCAAAUUUGAAACAAGUGUUCAUUGAUAGUGUGCCUACAGCCCCACAGUGUCAUUUACCUGCUCAGAUGAAGCCACAGACAGUUAUUCAUCCUGAAACAAAAUCUUCAACUUGUUACUGACUUCAGAGGCCCAUUACUCUGUCUCUGUAUCACCUAGAGUGUUUCUGACACUUUCACAAGAAACUUCAGAGAGUUUUCUUUCUGACAAGACCUCAUGCAUGCAUGUAGUCAGAGCGGUUCAGAAGCUACAGUCAUUUUAAUUUGGGUAUGUCAUUUUAGGUGUUUUUGCUACAAAAUGGCGGUGGAGUGCAAGAUUAAUAAAGGAGCGUAUCCUAAAGUACAUGUGAUUCAUUGUUUAUUUAUUAUUGGUAUGGAAUUUGGUAUCAGAGAAUCUCUGGUACAGAGAAUCACAGAGUUUAACUGAUAUUGGUAUCGACUACUAAAUUCCUGGUAUGGUGACAUGACUCUGUAACCCGACUGUACGAUCAGAGAGGACUGAAUGUUUCUGUCGUCCCAACAAAAUCAACAGAGUGACACGUCUUCUCCAGAAACACAAUCUAGCUGAUCGCUUCAGGAGUCAGAUUCUCCUGUUUAACAUUUAAUUCCUAUCAUAUGAAUGAUCUAUAUUCAUUGACUUCAUAGUUUUAAUCCAGGACCGUCAGUAUUGAAUCAAAGCGCAUAAAAAAAUAAGACGUGCCAAAGUUCGUAGUCAACUCUUCAGUGCACUGGAUAUGUUAUGUAUUUUGUUAUUUUAACUGUGUGUAUUGAGCUUCUUUGGCACAAACGUUUCUUUUUCUGUUGAAUGAAGUUGUUGCUUUAGUUUCCACUGGGUGGCUGUCAUUGAGGUAAAUCAGUCUGAUCAGACUGUAUCAGCAGAUAAUCAAUAUUAACAGAUCUGUUUCCUUUAAUUAACAUUUAUGUAAACAGCAAAAAUGUUUUUGAGGGAAAUGUAGUGCUGAGUGAAUUACAACAUGUCAACAUAAUGAGGAAGUGUUGCUAAUUAACGUACCUACAUGUAGGAAGCCGCAAAAAUGUUAUCUGAAUGUAUUAGGUUUGUUGACGACGUAUUUCAUUUGCUUUCCACCAAAAUGGUGAUCUGUAACACAGUAUCCACUCAUACUGACAACAUUUAACCAAAAUUAGGAUCUUUCCCAAACCUUAACCAAAGUGCUUUUGUUGCCUAAACACAGAGAGGAGUCUGAACCUGGUUGACACCGUUGUACAGUUUGGCUUUGUUGCACUCGGACCACACUGCCUGCGUGAGCAGUGUGUGACAGCUACCUCGCUGAACUGCUGCAGCUCGCACACAUGUGGUGUUCACACAGGCAGGGUUGCUGCUGCCAUAACUACUGUAUUUCGAAAAAUUAAAGGCCGGUACUUGUCUUAUUUAUGGAGCUGUGCAGCCGCUGCAUUGUCAACAACACGAUCCUGCAAAUAUUAUAAUAUAUAUAAUAAAAAGCCUUGUGUAAACAAAAGCAUUCUGUCCAUAGAAACAUUGUCAGAGGGCUUUUAUUUUGAAAUAGAAACAGGAGGUCAUUCAUUCAUUUCCCGUAACCACUUAUCCUGUUGGGGGGCUAUACCAGCUGACGAGAGGCAGGGGACAUCCAAGACAACCUCCCACCCUCCUCUUGUUAUGAGCCGACAAUGCUAACCACUGUGCCGUCCAAGAAAAGAAACAGGAAGUGUCAAGUUAAGAUAAAUAUUUAUAUUUCUUGUCAUUGAAACUAUAGUGACAGGUGAUAAGAUGACGACGUGAUGAUCAAAAGAUAAUUUUUACUGUCCAUUUUGCUGAAAAUCGCACGUUACAUGGAAAAAACAGGGGAGACUUUGAACCUCCAAAUGCGCCUGAGCAGCGCUGCUCACACAGGCAGUGUGGCCCAUGCGUUACGCUCUACCAGUCAAACUGAUGCCAAACAUUGCACUCACCAGUGACCAUCUCCUCGAUGUAGACAUUUAUAUUUAUAACACAUCUGCCAUCUUGAUUUUCACUACUUUUAAUAAAUCACUUAAAAUAAAAAAAAAUUAGAAAUUAAUAGAUUUUUUUGAAAAGGACAAAAUAUCUGAAUGAUUCAUCCCUGUGUACGUAAAAAUGUAAAGAUCCAGUCCUCAUUAAACGGAUGGAUAAUGUCUCCUAAAUGAAAUAAUUUCUAUCAUGCUACCUUUAAAGUCUCAACACUGUUAAUGACACUAAAAUAAAGUCUGUCCUUUCAUUUGAUGCCCCGCAGUAUCGACAGUUUAUCAGUAUUUGUCCAAACUGCAUUAAACACAGUGUAUUAGGCUGUUUGUAUUUAACUGUCAUGUUGAAUAUAUCUGUCAUGUGUGUGUGUUCAGAUGUGUGUGUUUGGUUAUUUGCAGCACUUUUAUUUCAAGGUGUUAAAUUCAUAUCUUUGAAUGUGUUGAAGCAAACGAUAUAUAACAUGUAGCUACAGUUUUUGUCUUGACUUCAGGACUCUGCACUAGUGCCUAAUGCUCAGCUUUUACUGGAAAUUACUGGACGUUGUUUGUCUUAUGUACUUCUUGAUAAUUCCAUCUUUGAAAGGGAAGUCUGGAUCUCUUAAUCUGUAAAUAAAAAUAUGUGAAAUGGC